GUCACGCAGCCCCCGGCGCGGCGGGCUCAGGGCAGGAGGCCGCAGCGGGCCGCCCGCCUGCCGGGGAACAGAGGCGGGUACCAGGGGCUAGCACGGCCCGGCGGGAACGCCGGGGAAAGGCCGGAGGAGGGAGGUGGUGCCCGCACGGGCCUCAUCCUCGGCGGCCCUGGCGAGACACCGACACGGGGGGGAUGGGGAAGGGGCGCGCCCCCACCGUCUUCUAGCCCGGUUACCUGUGGCGCCGAGCAGGAAGUCCAGGGUGCUGUGCCGCGCUGCUGCUGCCAUAUUACAGUUCCACACAGGCACCCUGAGCAAAGCAGAAACAUUCACUGGAGGUGUGCAUCAGAGACGCACUACAGACAUCUGCAGGUUUUUUUUUUCAGAUAUGCAGCUGCCACAAGACAACCAGUAAUAUCCCUGCAGUUUACAAUCUCUUACAUCUCAGCUUCAGUUGUGGCUGCUGCAGUGGUUUCAGUUACCUCAUUCCAUAAAGGAUUGAUUUUGACUCUCUUCAGUGGGAGCAACGCCUUGUGUUCCAUUCAACCUAUUACAUUGUCUUUCCACUGUGGAAUAAUUGGAAGAAGCAUCAGAAUUCUGGAAGGUUUUCUGCAAAGUGGUGAGAGGUGA
ensembl:lncRNA